rnacentral:tRNA from 1 species
GGGCGCGUAGCUCAGUUGGUUAGAGCGCUACGUUGACAUCGUAGAGGUCACAGGUUCGA